UCUUUAUAAUAAAUUUAUUUUAAUAAAUUAUUUUAUUUAAAUUAAUAAUUUUAAUAUUAAAUUAUUUUAUUGGGGUGAUACAAAAAUUUAAUAAACUUUUUUAUUAGUAUUUCUUAAAUUAAAGGUUUAUAAAAAUAUGAUCUAUUAUUAAUAAUUCAGAGAAUAAGA
rnacentral:rRNA from 1 species